GACGAACGCUGGCGGCGUGCCUAAUGCAUGCAAGUAGAACGCACAGUUUAUACCGUAGCUUGCUACACCAUAGACUGUGAGUUGCGAACGGGUGAGUAACGCGUAGGUAACCUGCCUGGUAGCGGUGGAUAACUAUUUGAAACGAUAGCUAAUACCUCAUAAUAUUAAUUAUUGCAUGAUAAUUAAUUGUAAGGUGCAAUUGCACCACUACCAGAUGGACCUGCGUUGUAUUAGCUAGUAGGUCAGGUAACGGCUCACCUAAGCGACGAUACAUAGCCGACCUGAGAGGGUGAUCGGCCACACUGGGACUGAGACACGGCCCAGACUCCUACGGGAGGCAGCAGUAGGGAAUCUUCGGCAAUGGACGAAAGUCUGACCGAGCAACGCCGCGUGAGUGAAGAAGGUUUUCGGAUCGUAAAGCUCUGUUGUAAGAGAAGAACGGGUGUGAGAGUGGAAAGUUCACACUGUGACGGUAUCUUACCAGAAAGGGACGGCUAACUACGUG
rnacentral:rRNA from 1 species